rnacentral:lncRNA from 1 species
AUGGCAGCAGCCGCCAAGUUGUCACUACUAGAGAAGUCCCUGGGACUGAGUAAGGGGAAUAAUAAAUAAAGUGCUCAGGAUGAGUGACAGAUUCUGGUUCUUCAAACAAACAAUGGUCCAAGUCUAACAGGAUUGACUACUAUAGCAGCUCAUCUAGUCAAGCAAGCUAACAAAGGAUAUUUGCUAGGGAGUACUGCAGAAGAAAAAGCAAUAGUUCAGCAAUGGUUACAAUACAGAGUCACUCCAGUAACCUUUGCAGAUAUCCUAUUGUACUAUGGACUUCAUCGCUUUAUAGUUGACCUGACAGUUCAAGAAAAGAAGAAAUAUCUUAAUGCGUCUCGCUGGUUUUGUCACAUUCAGCAUUAUCCAGAUAUCAGGCAACAUCUGUCUAGUGUUGUCUUCAUCAAGAACAGACUAUACACUAAUUCCC